GUGCAUAUAUAUAUUAUAUAAGAAGAGAGAUAAUAAAGAAAGAUGAAUCCAACACGGGUUGAGAUGGAACAGUUAGUAAACCCGUGACUCUGUUUGUCUGGUUGUCCGUGCCACCCAAUGCAUCUUUUUCUCUUCACAACUUCACUCACAUCACAUGCCUUCACAACACCACACACUUCCACUUUUGCCCCUCUACUUUUUUUAUUUACCAUUUCU
rnacentral:lncRNA from 1 species